rnacentral:lncRNA from 1 species
UUAUAUUCACCCUUCAUUUAUCAUCAAACAACUGAAUAACGUAUCAUACAAAAUCCAACGGUGGAUAUUAUUAAACAUGUAACAUGAUCAUCAAAGGCUCGAAGAGUUCCAGCUGGCGUCAACGGCGCCCAUGAUUUUGUCAUGCAGUGAGGCUCCGGCACAGGCGAUUAUUCCACGAUCUAGCCCUUGCAAAUACAUACCUUUAGAAAAAUCAAGUGGCCGGCCGCCAGCGUCCGUCACGAUGCCGCCGGCCUCUUCGAUGAUGACAACUCCGGCGGCAUGGUCCCAUAUCUUCUCUUUGUAACCAGCUCUUGCAAACUUCAUGAAAAUCUCUGCGUCUCCACGAGCGAUGGCUGCGUAUUUCACCAUACUGUAUACUCGUAACGUUACCUCAGCCCGACACUAUGAGCUAACCCUUGUGUGAACACGUGGCUCGAGUUUGCCUUCUCAACUGGUUCACAAAACGUAGCCAAAACAGGAUUAUCAAUAGUCGACACCCUAAUUUGCCUAGCCGACGCAACACCUUUAUCGCCACUUAACAACGGUUGCAUCCACGCCUUCUUGCUACCUUUCUUUGCGUAAAGCACACACCCGUUAC